UACGAAGGGGGCUAUCGUUGUUCGGAAUUACUGGGCGUAAAGCGCGUGUAGGUGGAAUGGUAAGCAAGAGGUGAAAUCCCAGAGCUCAACUUUGGAAUUGCCUUUUGAACUAUCAUUCUGGAGUAUUGGAGGGGAGUGCGGAAUUCCUAAUGUAGAGGUGAAAUUCGUAGAUAUUAGGAGGAACACCGGUGGCGAAGGCGGCACUCUGGACAAUAACUGACACUGAGACGCGAAAGCGUGGGGAGAAAACAGG
rnacentral:rRNA from 1 species